GAAACUGGGUCUAAUACCGGAUAUGACCAACUGUCGCAUGGUGGUUGGUGGAAAGCUUUUGCGGUGUGGGAUGGGCCCGCGGCCUAUCAGCUUGUUGGUGGGGUAAUGGCCUACCAAGGCGACGACGGGUAGCCGACCUGAGAGGGUGAUCGGCCACACUGGGACUGAGACACGGCCCAGACUCCUACGGGAGGCAGCAGUGGGGAAUAUUGCACAAUGGGCGGAAGCCUGAUGCAGCGACGCCGCGUGAGGGAUGACGGCCUUCGGGUUGUAAACCUCUUUCACCAGGGACGAAGCGUGAGUGACGGUACCUGGAGAAGAAGCACCGGCCAACUACGUGCCAUCAGCCGCGGUAAUACGUAGGGUGCGAGCGUUGUCCGGAAUUACUGGGCGUAAAGAGC
rnacentral:rRNA from 1 species